rnacentral:rRNA from 1 species
UACGAAGGGGGCUAGCGUUGCUCGGAAUCACUGGGCGUAAAGCGCACGUAGGCGGAUCGCUAAGUCAGGGGUGAAAUCCUGGAGCUCAACUCCAGAACUGCCUUUGAUACUGGCAAUCUCGAGUCCGGGAGAGGUGAGUGGAACUGCGAGUGUAGAGGUGAAAUUCGUAGAUAUUCGCAAGAACACCGGUGGCGAAGGCGGCAUUCUGGACCAAUAUUGACGCUGAGGAGCGAAAGCCAGGGGAGCAAACGGG